CUACGGGUGGCACCAGUGGGGAAUAUUGCACAAUGGAGGAAACUCUGAUGCAGCAACGCCGCGUGGAGGAUGACACUUUUCGGAGCGUAAACUCCUUUUAUAUAGGAAGAAGAUGACGGUACUAUAUGAAUAAGCGCCGGCUAACUCCGUGCCAGCAGCCGCGGUAAUACGGAGGGCGCAAGCAUUACUCGGAAUCACUGGGCGUAAAGAGCGUGUAGGCGGAUUAAAAAGUCAGAAGUGAAAUCCUAUAGCUUAACUAUAGAACUGCUUCUGAAUCUCUUAAUCUAGAAUAUGGGAGAGGUAGAUGGAAUUUCUGGUGUAGGGGUAAAAUCCGUAGAGAUCAGAAGGAAUACCGAUUGCGAAGGCGAUCUACUAGAACAUUAUUGACGCUGAGACGCGAAAGCGUGGGGAGCAAACAGGAUUAGAUACCCGAGUAGUC
rnacentral:rRNA from 1 species